rnacentral:rRNA from 1 species
AAAAGUUGGGGAGACCUGACGCUGAAAGAUGGACUCGCGUCCCAUUAGCUAGUUGGUAGGGUAAUGGCCUACCAAGGCGACGAUGGGUAGCCGGCCUGAGAGGGUGGCCGGCCACACUGGGACUGAGACACGGCCCAGACUCCUACGGGAGGCAGCAGUGGGGAAUUUUGCGCAAUGCUCGUAAGAGUGACGCAGCGACGCCGCGUGAAUGACGAAGGCCUUCGGGUCGUAAAGUUCUUUCGACAGGGAAGAAAAUGCCUAUAAGUAACUGUGUAUGUAUUGACGGUACCUGUAUAAGCAGCCCCGGCUAACUCCGUGCCAGCAGCCGCGGUAAUACGGAGGGGGCGAGCGUUGUUCGGAGUGACUGGGCGUAAAGAGCACGUAGGCGGUGUUGUAAGUCAUUAGUCAAAGACUAGAGCUCAACUUUAGUAAGGCUAGUGAUACUAUAAUACUAGAGUAUCAGAGAGGAUUGCAGAAUUCCUGGUGUAGCGGUGAAAUGCGUAGAUAUCAGGAGGAAUACCGUUAGCGAAGGCGGCAAUCUGGCUGGAAACUGACGCUGAGGUGCGAAAGCGUGGGUAGCAAACAGGAUUAGAUACCCUGGUAGUCCACGCUGUAAACGAUGGAUGCUAGGUGUUGG